CAGCCAGGCAGGGUCAUCUGCUGGAGUGGAGGCCUUAGGCACAUCUGGACAGGUGCAGGCUAAUGAAAAGGUGCCAGCAUCAGGUGCACCUUUCUUGAGGCCCGUUGGAUUUAUUUAUGACUUCUUCAAGGAUGCGCUGGAGAACAAGAGCUCGCAGGGGCCACAUACAUUUUAAGGUGCAAGGAAGAAGAAAACACCAGUUUCACUCAAGCUGAGAUGCCAAAUGGCUGUGUAGAGCGGAGCCUCCCGCCAACCAUCCUGGAUAUAAGAUGACCAAGAGGAGAGUGGUGGCCUGGGUGCCAGGUGCCUGCCGGCAUAGCCAGUCCCCUAUUCAGCAGACACAAUGAAGAUCAAAGGAUCAUUUGAGACUUCAUCCAGC